UCGAGAAUUUUUCACAAUGGGCGAAAGCCUGAUGGAGCGACGCCGCGUGGGGGAUGAAGGGCUUCGGCCCGUAAACCCCUGUCAUUUGCGAACAAUGCUCUGGUGUGAACAGCGCCAGAGUUGAUGGUAGCGAAAGAGGAAGGGACGGCUAACUCUGUGCCAGCAGCCGCGGUAAUACAGAGGUCCCAAGCGUUGUUCGGAUUCACUGGGCGUAAAGGGUGCGUAGGUGGUGAGGUAAGUCGGAUGUGAAAUCUCGGAGCUUAACUCCGAAAUGGCAUUGGAUACUACCUUGCUUGAGGAUUGGAGGGGGGACUGGAAUUCUCGGUGUAGCAGUGAAAUGCGUAGAUAUCGAGAGGAACACCAGUGGCGAAGGCGAGUCCCUAGACAAUUCCUGACGCUGAGGCACGAAAGCUAGGGGAGCAAACAGG
rnacentral:rRNA from 2 species